GACAGAGGAUGCAAGCGUUAUCCGGAAUGAUUGGGCGUAAAGCGUCUGUAGGUGGCUUUUUAAGUCCGUCGUCAAAUCCCAGGGCUUCAACCCUGGACAGGCGGUGGAAACUACCAAGCUGGAGUACGGGUAAGGGGCAGAGGGAAUUUCCGGUGGAGCGGUGAAAUGCGUAGAGAUCGGAAAGAACACCAACGGCGAAAGCACUCUGCUGGGCCGACACUGACACUGAGAGACGAAAGCUAGGGGAGCGAAUGGG
rnacentral:rRNA from 1 species